GUGCCAGGUAACGCCUGGGCGGCGCGAGCCGACGGAAAGUGCAACAGAGAACAGACAGCCGAACGGCUCUCCGGAGUGCGUGGUGAUGGUGAAACGGUGCGGUAAGAGCGCACCGCGCGCGGGGCCAACGCCGCGUGGCACGGCAAACCCCACUCGGAGCAAGACCAAAUAGGGAUGCAAUGCCGUGGCCCGCGGUGCAUCCGGGUAGGUUGCUUGAGCCCGAUGGCGACGUCGGGCCGAGAGGAAUGACUGUCCACGACAGAACCCGGCUUAUCGGCCGGCUCCGCCC
rnacentral:RNase_P_RNA from 1 species